rnacentral:rRNA from 1 species
CUAAGUUUGAUGGCGACCGGCGCACGGGUGAGUAACACGUAUCCAACCUGCCGAUGACUCGGGGAUAGCCUUUCGAAAGAAAGAUUAAUACCCGAUGGCAUAGUUCUUCCGCAUGGUAGAACUAUUAAAGAAUUUCGGUCAUCGAUGGGGAUGCGUUCCAUUAGGUUGUUGGCGGGGUAACGGCCCACCAAACCUUCGAUGGAUAGGGGUUCUGAGAGGAAGGUCCCCCACAUUGGAACUGAGACACGGUCCAA